rnacentral:lncRNA from 1 species
AGGCAGAAUAAGUAGUAUCCACAAGGCCAAAAUAGGUAGACAUGGGAAAGAAGGGGGAAAAGAAGAAUGCAAAGAACAUAUGCAACCAAGGCAAUCUAAAUGCAACAACACAUGACGACACACAAACAAAACAUCACACUAACACAACAAAAGUUCUAAAACAGAAGUGUUGGUCCCCGGCAACGGCGCCAAAAUUUGAUGACCUGUCGC